GGUGAGUUACUCAAGCGGCCAAAGAGGGCAGACUGUAAAUCUGCUGGUUUAUACCUUCGAAGGUUCGAAUCCUUCACUCACCA
rnacentral:tRNA from 1 species